rnacentral:misc_RNA from 1 species
AUUUUCAUUAUUUGGGUUUUACAUGCUCUUGGCUCUCAAUUUUGAAAGUUUCAUGAACUUUGGGAUUUAGAUAUACUUGUGAUUUAUUGAAGAAUAUUUUCAUCCUACAAGUAAGAAAGCCAUUGACUCGGGACAAUAACAGUGAAUACCAUGACUGAAAAACAUACAAUCUACUUUGCCGGAAGAAUCACUGGAAGGAGAAAGUAUGCUGAUUUAUAUCAACGAAUUGUUGAGCAGUUAAAGACAUACGGCAAGGUUUUGACGGAACAUGUGGCAAACCCAACAUUUGAAGCCGGUAAAAUAAAACUAAAUAAAAAUAAAUAUUUUUUUCAGUUAUUGAGUGUAUACAAUCGAUAUGGAUAAAAUAUGGCAAAUGCGGAUUGAUUCGUUUUACUUUUGCAGAUGAAGACAACGCGGGAUUAACUGACGUUUUUAUACAUGAUAGGGACAUGGACUGGCUAUAUGAAUGUGACGUCAUUGUUGCUGAAGUAACACAGAAGUCUUUAGGAGUGGGAUACGAGAUUGGAAGAGCGGUUGCUCUCAACAAACAUGUUAUUUGUCUGUUCCGUUCUGAUUCUGAAAAAAGGUUAUCACCGAUGGUCGCAGGAGCUGUUGGAGAAAAUUUCUUCGUAUACAACUAUAAAGAAGAUCAAUUGCCUGAAAUUUUCGCAAAGCAUUUGAAAUGAGUUUUUAACAUCUUAAAAUUUACGAAAAAAACAUCCUCUUUUAAAUUGCUGUAUAUAUUUUUUUAUAAAGUUAAAUACUAAGUUUUAUUUAUUUUUUUAAAUGAACAUGUGAAGUUAUUCGAUGUCUUAAGAAAAUUGGAGUUUUCUUCCUUGUGACAAAACAUAUCUCUCUUAGUUCAGUUUUGAACGUUUCGUUAUGAACAAUAUUUCCACUUCUCAAAACCGCUGAGCAAAACAUGAUGUAGUAAUCUUUUAUAGUUUUAUGAACAAGUUUUGUAAAGGUUAUAAUAAUUCAUUGUUUAAUUUUAAUUUUGAUUGUUUCAAGUGGAUGCAAUGGAUAAAAUUGUAUUAUAAAAACUUUGCUUUUCAUAGUUCGAUCAGGAUGUCGAUUACUAGUAGUUCUCAGUAAGUGGGAACUGCGAAAUCUCCGAAAAUUGAGCCGCUUUCAACUCAUAUGUUCCACAAUUUAUAAACUUUGUAGAGAGGGAAGGAAAUUUUUUUUUCACGAAUUGCUCAAAAAUUGAAUUUUAAUUGUUGGUAGACAGCUCAUAUUGUUACACAAUUUAUAAACUUUGUAGAAAGGGAAGGAAUCUAUUUUAUUUCACGAAUCACUCCGAAAUUUAAUUAUAAUUGUUGACAGACAGGUUGAGGUCUGUAUAUACAUGUAGCAACUAAACAAAUAAAGAAAGUACGAUUGAUUCU